rnacentral:lncRNA from 1 species
ACCACUUUCACCUAAAAAUUCAGUGUGUUCCAUACUUCAUCUUUUUUUAUUUUAAAGAAAAAAAAAUGAACUAGCUGAAGGGCUUCUCCAAAAGACACGAAGUUAACCUCACACACACCACCAGCCUCCUCCUGCCAGCACUCCCAAUGGGUUCCAGCCUGCUGCCCUCUUCAGCUGGGCUCCUCACCAGUCAUGGGGCCCGCUGAGGCCAUCACAGUGCUGGCAGGGAGGGCUUCCCUCAGAAGGAACAUCCUGGUCCUUACACCUGCUCACAGCACUCAUCCCAGGGAUCUGGGCUGCCAGACCUCAUGCAUAUUGGGUGAGGCAUGCCACAGGCUGACAGUUGGAGCAGGUGAAAGGCAGUCUCCACAGCAACUGCCAUGCAACUGUGUACCUACGACUGGACUUUUCUAUGGGAAGAGCAACCCUGAACUACCACAGCAAGGGGCCUCACUCAGCAGGAGCUGGGGAACAUGCAGCAGACACAUCAGAAACAAAAAUUUGGUGCUGAGAUUCCGUGUCAGUAAGACCUCACGGAUUUGCUCUCAAACUAUGGUCAAAUUUCACUACUUUGCCAUUCUUCAAGUGGAAAGGCCCACAGAAGGUUUGGAAACUGAGAUAAACUCCCACAGAAGAAUAAAAAGGUAUUCAUUCUCCUAUGAAGCCUGCAGUCUGCCUGUAGAUAGAAGAAAGCAACUCCUGCCAGGCUGCUUGUUUCCUGGCUAGAUGCUGGACAGAAAAUGAAGAAAAUUUCAGUGCUCCUUCUUCUGCACCACUGCACCAUUUAGCACAGUGAAUUCCUCCACCAAAUAAAGGGUGAACAAGACUGAAGUGUGACUUUCUG